rnacentral:rRNA from 1 species
AUUCCAGCUCCAAUAGCGUAUAUUAAAGUUGUUAUAGUUAAAAAGCUCGUAGUUGGAUUUCUGGUCUGAUGCGCGUCCGAUUUCGGAGUGAGUGCCGGCUGUGCGUCUACCAUCCUUCUAGAAAACGGAUCUACCCUUCACUGGGCCGGGUUCGCGAUCUAGUGUUUAAAGCAGGUUUUUGCUACGAAUACAUUAGCAUGGAAUAAUAAUCUAGGAGUUCGGUUCUAUUUGUUGGUUUCUAGUACUGAAGUAAUGAUUGAUAGGGAUAGUUGGGGGUGCUAGUAUUGGGCGGCCAGAGGUGAAAUUCUUGGAUUCGCUCAAGACUAACUUAUGUGAGAGCAUUCACCAAGGAUGUCUUCAUUA